CACGCACAAACCAUCGUUGCCGUAGCCUACCAAACACAGGUUUCUCACCCGAAUGCUUCCAUGUGUGCCGAAGUACAACACACCUCCAACGAAGCGUUUGUUCUCACGGAAUGCGAUGUACCGCAUACAUCAAGCACAUGGAAACAAGGAGUUAAUGUUAUGUCACGUUGUGCAAGCUCGAAUCCUUUACCUGACAAUACACCUAUAGCAAGCUUUGACCAUGGAAUUUAUUCUUCAGUUGGUAGUCUCUCUGGGGUAUUUCUAGGAUGUACAAGUGAUGGGUUCAAGAUUGCGUUCCAAACAUGUGGACAGUCACCUGAAAUAACCGAACUUCUGCAGGGUCAUCACUUUAACCAAAAUCCUGUCAAUUAUUUUACAAUAUCUUAGAUAUCUGAAAUGAAUAAAGAUUGAAAUAAAAAAGAAACCAUAGCAAAAA